rnacentral:rRNA from 1 species
GAUGAACGCUAGCUACAGGCUUAACACAUGCAAGUCGAGGGGCAGCAUUUUAGUUUGCUUGCAAACUGAAGAUGGCGACCGGCGCACGGGUGAGUAACACGUAUCCAACCUGCCGAUAACUCCGGGAUAGCCUUUCGAAAGAAAGAUUAAUACCGGAUAGUAUACGAAUAUCGCAUGAUAUUUUUAUUAAAGAAUUUCGGUUAUCGAUGGGGAUGCGUUCCAUUAGUUUGUUGGCGGGGUAACGGCCCACCAAGACUACGAUGGAUAGGGGUUCUGAGAGGAAGGUCCCCCACAUUGGAACUGAGACACGGUCCAAACUCCUACGGGAGGCAGCAGUGAGGAAUAUUGGUCAAUGGGCGCGAGCCUGAACCAGCCAAGUAGCGUGAAGGAUGAAGGCUCUAUGGGUCGUAAACUUCUUUUAUAUGGGAAUAAAGUUUUCCACGUGUGGAAUUUUGUAUGUACCAUAUGAAUAAGGAUCGGCUAACUCCGUGCCAGCAGCCGCGGUAAUACGGAGGAUCCGAGCGUUAUCCGGAUUUAUUGGGUUUAAAGGGAGCGUAGGUGGAUUGUUAAGUCAGUUGUGAAAGUUUGCGGCUCAACCGUAAAAUUGCAGUUGAAACUGGCAGUCUUGAGUACAGUAGAGGUGGGCGGAAUUCGUGGUGUAGCGGUGAAAUGCUUAGAUAUCACGAAGAACUCCGAUUGCGAAGGCAGCUCACUAGACUGUCACUGACACUGAUGCUCGAAAGUGUGGGUAUCAAACAGGAUUAGAUACCCUGGUAGUCCACACAGUAAACGAUGAAUACUCGCUGUUUGCGAUAUACAGUAAGCGGCCAAGCGAAAGCAUUAAGUAUUCCACCUGGGGAGUACGCCGGCAACGGUGAAACUCAAAGGAAUUGACGGGGGCCCGCACAAGCGGAGGAACAUGUGGUUUAAUUCGAUGAUACGCGAGGAACCUUACCCGGGCUUAAAUUGCAACAGAAUAUAUUGGAAACAGUAUAGCCGUAAGGCUGUUGUGAAGGUGCUGCAUGGUUGUCGUCAGCUCGUGCCGUGAGGUGUCGGCUUAAGUGCCAUAACGAGCGCAACCCUUAUCUUUAGUUACUAACAGGUGAUGCUGAGGACUCUAGAGAGACUGCCGUCGUAAGAUGUGAGGAAGGUGGGGAUGACGUCAAAUCAGCACGGCCCUUACGUCCGGGGCUACACACGUGUUACAAUGGGGGGUACAGAAGGCGGCUACCUGGUGACAGGAUGCUAAUCCCAAAAACCUCUCUCAGUUCGGAUCGAAGUCUGCAACCCGACUUCGUGAAGCUGGACUCGCUAGUAAUCGCGCAUCAGCCAUGGCGCGGUGAAUACGUUCCCGGGCCU